GCAGCUCAGUCAGUAGAGCAUGAGGCUCUUAACCUCGGAGUCAUGGGUUCUAGCCCCAUGUUGAGCA